rnacentral:lncRNA from 1 species
AAAAAAUCAGCAGAGUUUGUAGGUUCAUCCUCCGCCAAAAUAUGAGUGGCUUUUCACCGGCGAAGUUUUUCAACCGCCUGGAAGAAGCCAUUUGAGGUUUUUGCUGGGCUGAAUGUACAUUUUUUGGACACUAAAAAAGCACAAGGGUCAACAUGAUAGCCACAUAUGGAAGGGGCGUGGAGAAGAAAGGAUAGGGGAAAAAGAAGAAAGGUUGUUUUUACCAUCAGCCCCGUGUUGAAGUCAACAGGAAAUGGCCCAGUGUGGAUCAACCACCAUACUGUCCCGAGUAAAAGGGAAUGAUGAUCUCUUCUGAGUGACUUAAGAGUUAAUCAGGACCAGGUCGAGAGUUUAUCACCCAGAGUUCCAUGUUUGAAUUUUGGAGAAUUCCCUUUGUUUCAUUUCAGCACAUUCACUUCAGUGCCCGUGUCUAUUUUAAUAGCCUGGAAUGCAAUUCCCUUUGCCCAUUAUUCUCUUUCACUAUGGGUUUUUCCGACCCUCGGGGUAGAUUUAUGCUUCUAGUUGAAUGAUUACUCAGUGAAUGUUUGCCAAGGGAUGUUCUGUUCCAAGAAUGACACAUCUCUUUGGGGAUGACUCUUUACCUAACCAGGGUGGGUGGGAGGUCAGGGGAAGCCCCUACCCAGAAGAAAAUAGUUUCUUUGUGUGCUUGAAGAAAAACACUCAGAUGAUGAACAGCCUGAUUUGGGGGCUGUGUGUGGGUGAGCCACUCCAGUGAAGUCGUCCUCAACGCUCCCUCAGAAGGAGAUUAUGAAUUUAAUGAGCAGAAGAAUUCUGACAAGCCUUAAAGCCAAAGGCAAUUAGCAAAGGAUGAAUAACUUGAAUUCUUUGCAGUUAUGAAAUAAUUUCAUCCUAAUGAAAUUACACAUGCAUAUAUCUUUAAAAUAUGUUUUAUCUAUAUAUCUACAUGGCACAAAAGACUAUAAUGUAAUCUUCUAUGUGCAUAUACAAGCAUUUCUUACUGUGCAUUCAGUGACACACUAGUACUAGGAGAUGGGACAUGAAAGUAGAGUGCCAUGGUCAAAUCUAAUUGGAAAUGCUACAUGCUAGAGCUCCAACAUGUAUGCACAAAGGCCAUUGGGAUAUUGUCCUUGGAUAAUGGGGACAUCCCCAUUGGGAUAUAAAUAUUCUGAGAAAUCUUAC